rnacentral:rRNA from 1 species
AUUGAACGCUGGCGGCAGGCCUAACACAUGCAAGUCGAGCGGAUGAAGGGAGCUUGCUCCUGGAUUCAGCGGCGGACGGGUGAGUAAUGCCUAGGAAUCUGCCUGGUAGUGGGGGAUAACGUCCGGAAACGGGCGCUAAUACCGCAUACGUCCUGAGGGAGAAAGUGGGGGAUCUUCGGACCUCACGCUAUCAGAUGAGCCUAGGUCGGAUUAGCUAGUUGGUGGGGUAAAGGCCUACCAAGGCGACGAUCCGUAACUGGUCUGAGAGGAUGAUCAGUCACACUGGCACGGAGACGCGGCCCAGACUCCUCCGGGAGGCAGCGGGGGGGAAUUUUGGACAAUGGGCGAAACCCUGACCCAGCCAGGCCGGGGGUGGGAAGAAGUUUUUCGGAUUUUAAAGCUCUUUAAGUGGGGAGAAAGGGUAGAAAGUUAAUCCCUUGCUUUUUUGACGUUACCAAAAAAAUAAGCCCCGGCUAACUUCGUG